GAUGAACGCUGGCGGCGUGCCUAAUACAUGCAAGUCGAGCGACCAGACGAGGAGCUUGCUCCUCUGCCGUUAGCGGCGGACGGGCGAGUAACACGUGGAUAACCUACCUAUAAGACUGGGAUAACUUCGGGAAACCGGAGCUAAUACCGGCUAAUAUAUUGAACCGCAUGGUUCAAUAGUGAAAGACGGUUUUGCUGUCACUUAUAGAUGGAUCCGCGUCGCAUUAGCUAGUUGGUAAGGUAACGGCUUACCAAGGCGACGAUGCGUAGCCGACCUGAGAGGAUGAUCAGCCACACUGGAACUGAGACACGGUCCAGACUCCUACGGGAGGCAGCAGUGGGGAAUAUUCGACAAUGGGCGAAAGCCUGAUGCAGCAAUGCCGCGUGGGUGAAGAAGGCCUUCGGGUUGUAAAGCCCUUUUGUUGGGAAAGAAAAGAAGCAGGUUAAUACCCCGCUGUUUUGACGGUACCAAAAGAAAAAGCACCGGCUAACUUCGUG
rnacentral:rRNA from 1 species